GUACUCACUUUGGUAGCACGUAUACUAAAAUUGUGAAUGAAAUAAAGAAAAUUUUCAUGGCCCCUGAAUGAGGAUAACAUGCAAAUUCAUGAAGCAUUUUAUAUUUUU
ensembl:snRNA U6 U6 spliceosomal RNA